AUAUUAAAAGUUUUCUUAAUUUUAUUGCUUUGCAGCUCAAACACUCACCUAAUGGCUCAAGUAACAAAGACAUUGCUUACUUUGGACCCUGAAGCUGUGCUCACACUAAAACAUGGACUCAACUUCAAGAAAAAUCCAAAAGAUGGGAAAUGUUACAUCAUUUACAAGGAUGCAGAUGGUGUGAAGGCAUGUAGAAACCAGUGUAAACACCAAGGAGGACUGUUUAUCAAAGACAUAGAGGACCUGAAUGGAAAAACAGUGCGCUGUACUAAACAUUACUGGAAACUGAAUGUGUCAACCAUGGAAUAUGUGAAUCCACCAGACAGCUUUCAGCAGGAUGAGCUUGGGGUUAACUGGAAUGAUGGAAGUCUUGAGUUAGUGGAGCUGUAUCCUGCUGAGCCUUGGCUCAUUGACCCUAAAGUCCCCGAGCAACUUGAAGCUGGAGAAGUGACAGUAAGUACUCAAACUUGCAGCCUUACACAACAAAAAUACACACUGGUCAUGGCUACUGACUUUAGGCCUAUUCAUGACCAGAGGCGAGGAGCACGCAGCUCACAGCAGGCGGCACAGGUGGAAAAUGGGCUGGAUUAGGCAGAAUAUAUUAUCAGUAGGGAUGGGUAUCAUUUAGAUUUUACAGAUUCCAAUGCUAAAGCAAUACUUCUAAAAUGGUACCCAUGCCUAAAUGGUGCCUGAACUAAUAAAAAGCAAAUGAUGACCAUGGAAAAGAAAUUUAACCACAAAUUUAACCACAAUUUAACUUUAAUGUCAGUUUAAUGUCAGCUAGCUUGCUGACAGUACAUUCUGACAAUGACUAAGUCGAUGGAGCAAGUGUAAUGCUAGCUAGUGAAGGUGUGCAGUGGCAGGGGCAUGAGUGAAUGAUGCUUCUGUUGCCUGUAAGCACCGAAGGGAGGUGGAUGAGGAGGGAUGACCUAAAUUGUCAAGGAGGCUGGUGAAGGGCUUUAGGUGGGCCAAAUAAAAUCAGACUGUCAUUCACGCUCUGUUGGGGAGGUAGAGUUGUCAUCUGCAUAGCAAUGAAGAGAUAUUGUACUAAUGGAUAAUAUGUCCCAAAGGUAGCAUAUAUAGGAAAGAGAUGCCCUAAAAUGGACCCUUGAGGGACCCUGUAGGUGAUGGAGGCAGUGGAAGAGAAACAUGGAUAUUAAAAUCACUCAGAAUCAGAAUUAUGUCAGACAUAGGCAUAAUAGAUGGUAAAUGGACUGCAUUUAUAUAGCCCUUUUAUCCACAGCACUUUACAAUUGAUGCCUCUCAUUCACCCAUUCACACACACACUCACACACCAACAGUGAAAGGCUGCCAUGCAAGGUACCAAUCAACUCAUUGGGAGCAAUUAGGGGUUAGGUGUCUUGCUCAGGGACACAUCAAUACGCCCAGGGUGGGGGAUUGAACCGGCAACCCUCUGUCUGCCAGUCAACUGCUCUUACCUCCUGAGCUAUGUCGCCCCUAGAUGACCAAAAAAUAACAAAUUCAUUUCUAAAGUCUUUGCUUGGUUUAGGAAGUCUAUACACAAGAGCACAGAGCAGUGACUGUGUUCAAGUUUAGUCCAUGGUAGCUUAAAGCUAGGAUAACUCUUGGCUGAGGCCAUGAU